GCGUUUACAAAUGCUUCUGAUGGAAAGGAUUAUCAUCUGCUAAUUAACGUCCAGACCAUUUAACAAGGCAGAAGUGUGGGUGCAGAGGUGGUGAGAGCAGUGGUGAACAGAGAGGCAAAUUCCAGCCUUUGGGGUAGGAUUAUGGCUUGAAUUACAGUCUCCCGCUGUAUCUGUUACGGCACCCUGGUGGUUAAUAGGAGCCCUCUUUGUCCAGGAGUUGCUGUGGAGACGGUUCCUGUACCGCAGGAAGCAGGGAGAAGAGAAGUUUCCUGUUUUGAAGAAGGUUUAAGAAUGAUUUUCCUCCAAUCAGGCAGCAGAUGCCUGGGCAGGAAAUGGAGAACGCAGCUGCCAGCCCGCUCUGGAUGAAAUUUAGUGUGUGUGUUUGCUGAACUCCAGGAGUGAAAUUCAACUCUGGUCCCAAUGAAGCUAGAACUCCUGUUGACAUUGUUUGUGCCAAGACAGCCUUUUUGAUUCAGCGCCCAAUUUUCUUUCAUUGACACCAGUUUUACACCCUCAUGUUUGUCCCUCAGUGGCAUUGCUCCUGACUUAACCUUCAGGUUUACUUCAACUGAUGCCUGAAGCAACCAUCUGCAAUCCUUCCUCUCCCAGUCCAUGGUUUGGUUCUCCGUGAAGUUAUUUCCUCCAGUGCUUUAUGUAACAGCAUUUGGGAGGGAGUGAAA